GACGAACGCUGGCGGCGUGCUUAACACAUGCAAGUCGAACGGAAAGGCCUCUUUCGGGGGGUACUCGAGUGGCGAACGGGUGAGUAACACGUGAGUAACCUGCCCUUGACUUUGGGAUAACUUCAGGAAACUGGGGCUAAUACCCGAUAGUAGCUCCUGCUGCAUGGUGGGGGUUGGAAAGUUUCGGCGGUUGGGGAUGGACUCGCGGCUUAUCAGCUUGUUGGUGGGGUAGUGGCUUACCAAGGCUUUGACGGGUAGCCGGCCUGAGAGGGUGACCGGCCACAUUGGGACUGAGAUACGGCCCAGACUCCUACGGGAGGCAGCAGUGGGGAAUAUUGCACAAUGGGUGGAAGCCUGAUGCAGCAACGCCGUGUGCGGGAUGACGGCCUUCGGGUUGGAAACCGCUUUCGCUCAUGACGAAGCUUUGUGUGACGGUAGUGGGUAAAGAAGCACCGGCUAACUACGUG
rnacentral:rRNA from 1 species